rnacentral:rRNA from 1 species
AUUGAACGCUGGCGGCAGGCCUAACACAUGCAAGUCGAACGAGUGGCGGACGGGUGAGUACUGUCUGGGAAACUGCCCGAUGGAGGGGGAUAACUACUGGAAACGGUAGCUAAUACCGCAUACCAUCGGAUGUGCCCAGAUGGGCGUAGCUUGUUGGGGGGGUAACGGCUCACCAAGGCGACGAUCCCUAGAUGGUCUGAGAGGCUGACCAGCCACACGGGAAAUGAGACACGGGCCUUACGCCUACGAUAGGCAGCGGGUGGGAAUGUUACACAAUGGGCGCCAGCGGGAGACUGCCAUGCCGCGUGGAUGAAGAAGGCAUUCGGUUUGGUAAGUACUUUCAGCGGGGAGGCGUUACCCGCAGAAGAAGCACCGGCUAACUCCGUGCCAGCCGCCGCGGUAAUAC